rnacentral:rRNA from 1 species
CGGCGGACGGGUGAGUAACGCGUGGGUAACCUGCCUCAUACAGGGGGAUAACAGUUGGAAACGGCCGCUAAUACCGCAUAAGCGCACAGUACCGCAUGGUACGGUGUGAAAAACUCCGGUGGUAUGAGAUGGACCCGCGUCUGAUUAGGUAGUUGGUGGGGUAACGGCCUACCAAGCCGACGAUCAGUAGCCGACCUGAGAGGGUGACCGGCCACAUUGGGACUGAGACACGGCCCAA